rnacentral:tRNA from 1 species
GACUUUAUAUUCAAUUAUGAUUUUAGAUUGCAAAUCUAAUGGUGUAUUAUUUACUAAGGUCU